rnacentral:lncRNA from 1 species
GCUGCUGAGAAUGCAGCAUCGAUCCCGAAUUUAGAACGAAAACAAGUUUACUUGCACAACCUAUCAAGGACACAACAAAGGAAUACGAAAUCAAGAAUAUUCGCGAACAUGGCUAAUAUUUUUAUGAUAUCACUCUUACUCAAUUAUAUUUAUUUGAUAUUAAACGUAAUAACGAUCGCUGAUUUUAAACGAAUUCUUCAUUUAUUUACACUAACUACGAAAUACUUAACUUUUAUGAAAUAAAGACGCGCGUUUUGACGUUUCCCCGUUAUACUCGAGUGAUGUUUUCAGAAACCGUCGCUAGGCGGCGCCCCCGUAAAACGAUAUUCGAUAAUCGAAAUAAGCUCGUUCUCAAAUUGAUUUUAAUUCGAUAAUUUAUAAGAAGUAUGUAUUGAAUACGAAAUAAAUUGACUGACAAUGAGUAUUAAAACGAUGUUAAUAAUAAUUAAUGAUUACAAUUAAUCUAUUCACGGUUAAAAUAAAUCUUCGAAUGUCUGGACAGAACAUAUUAGGGAGUGGGCAAGUUCUGUUUAACCACAGCGAUAGACAGUUUCGGUUUGACUGGCAGCCCAAGCCAAAGUCGAAGACUAUAGGCCAAGGAAGAGGCUCCGGAUACGAUGGUAAACGCUCGCGCGCGGACUCGUGCCAAUGUGGAGGAGGAACGAUUGGGAGAAGGGGGCAAGGGGGAACAAGAGGAGGAAAAAGAGGAGGAGGAGGAGAAGGAGGCCUUUCCUCUUCUGUACUUUUUCCCAUUGCGAUACCAACCACCGACUUUUCUUUAUUAAUUAAUACUCGUACUCGUAGAGAAUGGAACAAAUAUCUUUUUAUGUUAUAUUUAUAUGAUUCCAUGAUUUUGUUCUGAUAAUAUCUUAACAAUUAUCUCAUUAUCGAAUUCGAUCUAGAUAUUAGCUACACGCUAAGCUUUACCAUUGUAAUAUAUAUACUUUUUCUAUAUUUUAUAAUUACUUUCUUCAUUUAUUUACGAUGAUUUUCUCCGAAGUUUAUCUCUAUUACUAUGUUAUCUGAAGUUGGAGUGAUUUAUUUGCUUUAUGUUGACGUUUAAAAGUGAUAUUAAAUAUUCAAGGCCAACAAGCAAA